ACGGGUGAGUAAUGUCUGGGAAACUGCCUGAUGGAGGGGGAUAACUACUGGAAACGGUAGCUAAUACCGCAUAACGUCGCAAGACCAAAGAGGGGGACCUUCGGGCCUCUUGCCAUCAGAUGUGCCCAGAUGGGAUUAGCUAGUAGGUGGGGUAAUGGCUCACCUAGGCGACGAUCCCUAGCUGGUCUGAGAGGAUGACCAGCCACACUGGAACUGAGACACGGUCCAGACUCCUACGGGAGGCAGCAGUGGGGAAUAUUGCACAAUGGGCGCAAGCCUGAUGCAGCCAUGCCGCGUGUGUGAAGAAGGCCUUCGGGUUGUAAAGCACUUUCAGCGAGGAGGAAGGUGGUGAACUUAAUACGUUCAUCAAUUGACGUUACUCGCAGAAGAAGCACCGGCUAACUCCGUGCCAGCAGCCGCGGUAAUACGGAGGGUGCAAGCGUUAAUCGGAAUUACUGGGCGUAAAGCGCACGCAGGCGGUUUGUUAAGUCAGAUGUGAAAUCCCCGGGCUCAACCUGGGAACUGCAUUUGAAACUGGCAAGCUAGAGUCUCGUAGAGGGGGGUAGAAUUCCAGGUGU
rnacentral:rRNA from 1 species